GAGGUAAAAGAGAAGGGGAAAGUACCCCCCAUCUUCCCCAUAUAUUGGGUGUGAUUAUUAAUAAAUUCUGACAGAUGUCAUCCAAGGUACAGGCAUGGCAGCAAUGCCACAUACAAAUACCAGCUUAAUCUCAUAACAAGUGAUGUUAUCAUAUAAGUCAAUAUUACACAUUAAACCAAAAUGAGAAUCAUGAUCCCUCUCCGAGAGGUGAUAAACAGCACCACAGGGAAUACAUACAGCAAGUAAGGAUUUAUGUAACAUAACCAUGUGAACAAACAAAACACCAUUGUGACCAGUGACUGUUUAACUAAUAUAAUAAAUGCAUAUAACAACUUUGUUUUAACAGGCUCUGUUCAGAUCUGGCCCCUCAUUGGGCACCAAAAAGGACUGUCAUGAUUUAGCCCCAGCCAGCAGCUAAGCACCACAGAGCUGCUCACUCUCUCCUCCCCACUUUGGUGGGAUGAGGAGGAGAAUCAGAAGGAAAAGUAACCAUUAUGUGGGAUGGAGCCCUGCUUUCCUGGGAGUGGCUGAACAUCUGCCUGCUGAUGGGAAGUAGUGAAUGAAUUCCUUGUCUUGCUUUGCUUGUGUGUGUGGCUUUUGCUUUACUUAUUAAACUAUCUUUAUCUCAACCCAUGAGUUUUCUCAUUUUUACCCUUCUGAUUCUCUCCCCUGUCCCACCAGAGGGGAGUGAGCAAGCAACUGUGGGGUGUUUAGUUGUUGGCCAUGGCUAAACUGUGACAUAGGUGCAUUGUGUUUUACUGGAAUUCCUGACUAUUGAAUAGAACCUUGGGUUUUUUUCACCAGUUGUGCAGUAUCCUCUAUGCGAACAGACAAGAUGCGCACCAAAGAGCGGCAGAGGAGGCAAGCAGAGUGCCAUAAGAAGAGCCAAUGCCAGCCAGCUCCAAGACGGGCCCACCGCUGGCCAAGGCCAAGCCAAUCAGCGCCUCUGUGAUAACAUAUUUAAGAAGAAGAAAAACACUUAGAGAGAGCUUUUGCAGCCGGAGAGAGGAGUGAGAAGAUGUAAGAAACUUGGCAGACACCAAGGUCAGUGCAGAUGGAGGGGGAGGAUGAGCUCCAGGCGCCGGAGCAGAGAUCCCCCUGCAGCCCGUGGUGAAGGCCAUGGUGAGGCAGGCUGUCCCCCUGCAGCCCAUGGAGGAAGGAUGAGGGGGUGUAGAGAUUCCACCUGCAGCCCGUGGAGGACCCCACGCUGGAGCAGGUGAAGGCACCUGAAGGAGGCUGUGGCCCGUGGGAAGCCCACGCUGGAGCAAGUUCCUGGCCGGACCGGUGGACCCGUGGAGAGGGGAGCCCACGCCAGGGCAGGUUUGCUGGCAGGACUUGUGACCCCGUGGGGGACCCCACGCUGGAGCAGUUUGCUCCUGAAGGUCUGCACCCCGUGAGAGGGACUCCAUGCUGGAGCAGGGGAAGGAUGAGAGGAGUCCUCCCCCUGAGGAUGAAGAAGCGGCAGAAACACCGUGAGAUGAACUGACCGUAACCCCCCCUCCCCGUCCCCCUGUGCCGCUGAGGGGGAAGGUUGAAGCCGGGAGUGAAGUUGAGCCCGGGAAGAUGGGAGGGGUGGGGGGAAGUGCUUUGAGAGUUGAUUUUUUCUCAUUCCUCUACUCUGUUUUGCCUAGUAAUAAAUUAGAUGAAUUCCCUCUCUAAGUUCGGUCUGUUUUGCUCGUGACAACCAUUAGUGAGUGAUCUCUCCCUGUCCUUAUCUCGACCUACAAGCAUUCUGUUAUGCCUUUUCUCCCCUGUCUAGUGAAUGAGGGGAGUGAGAGAGCGGCUCUGGUGGGCACCUGGCCCCCAGCCAGGGUCAACCCACCACAGCUGGCUGUAUAACUAUAUUAAGAUUUGUGUGGGAGAGUGGUUUUUAUUUUUAAGGUGUGAAGUGAUGAGCAAAGUAGGAUAUUGACACAGGAGGUGACUUGGGCCAGGUGGGGCGCAAGCCUCAGCAUGGCAGCCCAAAAUGACAGAGGCUGGGUGAGCAGCUGAGGUGCUGCAGGCAGCCUCGGAGGGGCGAAGCAGCGUGCUGAUGAGUGGUCUGAGAAGGUGCUACGUGGCCACCUUUGGAACUGGAUGCACGUUCAAGGUGCCACAAGUGAUCACAGCCGCAGUCCUCUCUGGAACAAGCAGGUGCCAGACGUUGUACUCUUGCCUUCUGGGAGCAGCAAUUUGUGUGGUAGUUAAGCAGGUUGAAUCUUGAAUGUGCCUUAGUUUGUAUACUAAGGGCUGAUGAUGACCAGAGAGUGUUGAACAAGAACGGAGCCUGUGGAGGCAGGAUAAUGUCUUGUGAGACCACUCCUCUAUUCCUGAAAGAUGUAUACAAAGACCAUCUGCGUGCCAUGUGCCUGUGACAGAUCACCACUCACUUGGUCAGCCCUGAAGGGGGGGGGGGAUGACGCAUGAUGGUGAGACCCCCCAAGACCCCCGUAACCCACUGACUUAUUUCUAGAACAUUUCUGAACAUUCCUGAGCAUGUACUGCGCCUGCUCAGUGAUGACAGACCCCUGCCUAUGGGGCGGGCACAUCGGGUUAUAAAAAGGGAAAACAUAAGUUUUUGGUGCACACCCACCACCGGAAGACUACA